rnacentral:misc_RNA from 1 species
GAAAGGUAGAAAGAUAAAUUUUAUUACCAAAGAGAUGAUAUACAAAUUACAAGCUGAAAUCCUAGAGCACCAUUCCUAAUGGUGCACAAAUUGUGCAGGUCAAGAACUGGGAUCAUCCACAAUUGCUGCCUGAAAUUUGUGGAGCUCCUAAACAGCUAAACCCCCUACAGGCUAUUGUUAAAUGUAUCGGCAGUGAGAGGACUUGGAUGUUAAUAGGUACACUUCUUGUCAUGGCAUCUGUGAGCGGGCUAAGCCUAAGUGCAUCAAGUGCGUGCACAACGAAACAUGUAUACCAAUGAAAAACAUAAACCAGAAAACCCGAGGGGUUAUAUAAUUACAGAAAUGGAUCGUGACGCUUCCCACCAAAAAGGUACCUAUCACCUAGACAUAACCAAGCUUGUUAGAGGCUGUGCAACAGCAGUACUAAACAGAGAAUCCCCCAUAUACUUGCAAUUCUCAUGAUCAACUUUGCGAGUCAUUGAAAGCAUAAAUCUCUCACAGGCGUUGGAACCAAAAACUGGUGUUGAGCUCUCAUUGCCAUCUUUUUUAUUACGCAUUCUCUGGCCAGAGCUCACACUACCACGUCUUCUCUUCUUUGAUGCGUUCCACCUUAACUGGGCUAGGUAACUAUCUUUUGAAAGAUCUGGAACCACAACUGAUUCUCUUCCCAUAUCACUUCCAGAAUCUGACGAAUAAUCACUACAUCCAGGUUUUCUUUUUACUGAUUGUGUAGUUUCAGAAAUGGCAGUUUGAAUCAAUUUGUUCUCAUCAGAUUUGACAACUUGCUUUGUUUCUGAGAUAGAUGAUACAGAAUGCGCAAUAUCUGGCCUGGCCUUAAUAUGCAUCCACCCAUUUCCCAACCAUUCUUGGGAGAGUCUCACAUCAGCACGGCUAAAGACUGAUUUUUGCUUUUCUCCUGGGAAAUAGACACAAAAUCUAUCUUCAGAUUCCUUAUGAACAACAAUGCCCUCCUGCCAAACAUCAUGCCACCAAACAUCAACAGCAGUCCCAACAUCCAAAUCCCAUGAUAAUUGACCCUUGUUGAACAUUUGGGGAGGGCGAACAAUUAACCUCCCACAAAUCCGAAUUCCCAAUUGAUCAGGAACUGCAACUUUGGUCGCUAAAAUCCAUUCCUCUAAAUUUUUAGCUUCAUUUUCUGCAUCUUUAAUAUCAUGAUAUCUCACCUUCAUCUUAUCUUUGUGAAUCUUAAUUAUCAAUGCUCUAAACCAACAACCUCUAAUCCCACUAUCCUGAGAAAGCACUUCAACUUCAGAACCAACUUUUAGAUGCUGAGUAGGACUUUGCUUAGCUUCUGCUCCAGACGGAAGGGCAGCAGAUUCCCCUCCUGUUAGACUGCAUAUCUCCAUUCCACUUUUGCGGUCAAUCCAACUGCUAUGCAAGUUAUGCACAUCCACACUCACUGCGUUUGUUGAUUCUUUACUGCCAGUAUAAACAUCAUCAUCUUUUGAUUGACGAUGCCUCUUCCUAGGUCUGGUCCCAGAAUCAUCAUUAACAUUUGCUUCCACUUCCAGGCCAUCAUCAAUUUGCAAAGAAUUUGCCUGAUCCCUUGCAGGGGAAACCAUAUACAUAUACCUAAGUAUUUCUUGUUUCCAGUAUCCUUUGACUUGAGUAAUGUCAAAGGGCUUGGCAUCUUCAUUAUCAAACAUCUUGUAGCAAACAAAUGGAUCCAACAUAGUGUGUGAUGCCUCAUUAAGAAACUUCUCAAAAUGCUGGGGACUGAGGACCGCAGCCAUUCCAUCUAUGCAUUCAAUACUGAGAUCUUGAAGACAAAGAGAAAAGAAAAUCUCUCUGUCAUUAAAAUUGAGAGGCAAUGAAAUACCAACCUCAUCAAUUUUGUGAAACCAUCGUACCACAACCAUCUUGUUCCCUUUGGAGUCCUCGUACAUAUCUUCCAAGUAGGCAACAAGCCUUUUAUCCUCCUCAGCUAAGACAUAUACAAAGUCAUGAACAGAAAUUUUGAAGCCAUUCCGUUGAAAUGACGGAUAAUGCCUUCGUCUUUUCCGGCAUGUCCAUGGAGAACCUAACCAUAAAAAUUCUUUUGUAUGGUAGCCCUGCUUCUGAUGUUGUGUGGCCUUAAAGUUUUCAAUGUCCAACUCAGAAGCAUCACUACUAUCCAAAGAACCUGAUAAGUGGGAUGAUUCAAGAGGCAGUGACUCUGGAAAACAAAAGUACAGUUAACUCAGAAUAAAGACACCAAGGAAGGAACCAAUUGGAUACAAAGAAGAAAAUCUAAAACAAAAAAAGCCACAGCUAAGAAUCAAAUCAAUCUAUAUAUAAAAAUAAAUACAGCAGAAAGAGCAACGCAUUUGCACAACACAUAAACAACAUUCCACCGUAAAAAAAGAACCACAGGCGAGAAGAAAUACAAAUAGGCACAAACAAGAACCAUAUGUAUUUUGAAUGGAGGGUUUAAGAUUCUAUUUGACAGCUGCCAGAUCAAGAGGUUACCAAAAAUGUGAAAACACUUAUGUAAAUCGCAAUAAAUUUGGCCAUGAAAGAUCUUAACCUAGAUAUUGAGGCCACAAGGAUCCGAUGCUGUCAACCAGCUCUUUAAAAUUGAAUAAUAAUUCCUGAAACGAUAGAGUUGAGCCAAUUAAUAACCUCUCGUCGCGACUUGAGCUUCAAAGCAGGACCCAUAGACGAAAAAAUGGAUCUAUUCCUGACAGCGUAGUGAUAAGACAUAUGCCUCAAGCUCUUCUCUUUUCCUACGACGGCCAGAUCUAAUCCUCCGUCCAUUCUCUUCAAGUAAUAUCGAACCUCCCUUCUCCCUCUAUUCGUCGAGACGUUCACCUCCUCCCAGCUAACGUAACCCAACGACUCCGUAUCCAGCGGCGAACCCAAUCUCUCCAUGAAUUCAAUUGUAAAACCUCGGAACCCUAAUCGAAAAUUCCAAAUAAAAAAUUGGGAAAUGAAACUCUAAGCAAAGGGAAUAGGCGGGGGGAGGAUUGGGGCUCUGGCGUCUCUCUCUCUCGAUCCUAUCCGUUUUCUCUUCCUUCCUAUGUGUUGAUUGCGAGUUUGUUUGAAGGGGGAAUUUGAAAGUUAUAAAAUAAAGCGGAACUAGGGUUUGGUUAUCGGCAAUUUGG